rnacentral:tRNA from 1 species
GGCAUCGGAUUUUGAUUCCGACAUUCGAGGGUUCGAAUCCUUCCUCCCCAGCCA